GUGAUAGGUACUAACUGAGUGAACUAAGGGUAUCAUGAUGACACUUAUCCGCAAACACGGACAUAAACUUCAUUCCUAUAUUAACCAACCCAUAUUAUCCCAUAAUACCUAGGCCUGCCUCUUCAUCACUUUUUGUGUCCUUUUCAUUCAGGCGCGAUCACAUUAAGCCCGUUAUCCGUAUAUGCUUCAUAGCAGAGUGACCUAUUAGUUAUUAUGAUCCAAACA
rnacentral:lncRNA from 1 species